CCUACGGGUGGCAGCAGUGGGGAAUAUUGGGCAAUGGGCGCAAGCCUGACCCAGCAACGCCGCGUGAAGGAAGAAGGCUUUCGGGUUGUAAACUUCUUUUCUCAGGGACGAAGCAAGUGACGGUACCUGAGGAAUAAGCCACGGCUAACUACGUGCCAGCAGCCGCGGUAAUACGUAGGUGGCAAGCGUUAUCCGGAGUGACUGGGUGUAAAGAGUUGCGUAGGUGGCAUAAUAAGUAGCUAGUGAAAUCUGGUGGCUCAACCAUUCAGACUAUUAGCUAAACUGUUAAGCUCGAGACCGUUAGGGGUAACUGGAAUUUCUAGUGUAGGAGUGAAAUCCGUAGAUAUUAGAAAGAACACCAAUAGCGUAGGCAGGUUACUGGGACGGUUCUGACACUAAGGCACGAAAGCGUAGGGAGCAAACGGGAUUAGAUACCCUUGUAGUC
rnacentral:rRNA from 1 species